CACAGUUUGACAUCAAGAGGAAUGCAAACAGAUGCUUUAUUUUUAGCAUAGUUAUUCUCUCAGGUUGGUGCUAUCUUUCAUCUUGGCUCAAUGAGGUGGGCUUAAAUCUACCUUUCUUCAUGCAGACGCCUGUGUCAGUGCUUGCAGAAUCUCUGCCCUUGUUUGGAAGAAGAGUGCUUUCUGUGAGACUAGGACGUAGUGAAUUGAAGCUUAAGGCUUGUGAUGUACCUACAUCAUGUCUAUUUCAGAGCCUCAGAAAAGGGUGCUCCAGCUUUUUUUGGAAGAGGAUAGAUUCCGUAAGCAUGGCUGUGGACACAGCAUACAGGUAUUCUGCAUUUCUGCCUCUGUGGAGCCAAAAGAGCGUCAGAUUGCCACAUUGCAGUUCAGGGGCUGCUUUUUCGUGGCGUUCCCUCUGCAAGGUACUGCACAGAGUGAAUGUAUGUGGCAGAGGACCAGACUUGAUAUCCCAUGGACAUUUAUGCAUGAAGAUGAACUAUCUCCCAAGUGAUCUGAAAUCUUCACUGGAGCUAAGCUGUCGGCUAAAUGUUAUACCUCUGCACUUUUCGUUUCAGGUCCACAAGAGGCUUUACGUGACAUUACCAAACCACUCCAUGGUUGCUGGAAGUUGGUAAAAGUGAUAUACAGGAAAAAGGGGCUAUCGAUCAGGAUGGAAGUGAAACAGCUCUGUUGA
rnacentral:lncRNA from 1 species